rnacentral:lncRNA from 1 species
GACAAAGGCUCCUUCCAUGGUUGGUGUGAGUAGGCUUGGACACCUGCAGGGCAGACACCCAGGAAUAAUCAACUGGGCCUUCAGUGGUCCUCUUUUGCAGGGUCAAGAUAUGUAUUCAUUUCCUACCACCGUAGUGGAAGAGAGAUUUUCCCUAUCUUUACAACUGAUAGCAUUUCCAACAGUAAGCUGUGAGAUUCUGCUUGAAAUCACCUCUCAAACAAAUAAAAAACAGACCUGGGAGACAUGCUACACUCAUUCUGCUGAGGAAAUAGCUGCAUAUUGAAAAAAGAGAAAUGAAGCUCAACCAGUCAGAAGUAGCCAACAACCUUAUAUAAAUAGAAACUGUCCAACAAGGUAAACAGACAAACAAAAAACAAUAAAAAAAGUUGUGCUACCACCAAA